ACGGAAGGCAGCAGUGAGGAAUAUUGGUCAAUGGACGCAAGUCUGAACCAGCCAUGCCGCGUGCAGGAAUAAGGCCCUAUGGGUCGUAAACUGCUCUUGUGGUGGAGCAAUAAGUCGUACGUGUACGGCGAUGAGAGUACAUCACGAAUAAGCAUCGGCUAACUCCGUGCCAGCAGCCGCGGUAAUACGGAGGAUGCAAGCGUUAUCCGGAUUUAUUGGGUUUAAAGGGUGCGUAGGCUGUGGUCCAAGUCAGGGGUGAAAGCCCGGAGCUCAACUCCGGAACUGCCUUUGAUACUGGAUUGCUGGAAUACGGAUGCCGUGGGAGGAAUGAGUAGUGUAGCGGUGAAAUGCAUAGAUAUUACUCAGAACACCGAUUGCGAAGGCAUCUCACGAAUCCGUCAUUGACGCUGAGGCACGAAAGCGUGGGGAUCAAACAGGAUUAGAUACCCUGGUA
rnacentral:rRNA from 1 species